rnacentral:rRNA from 1 species
CCUACGGGUGGCAGCAGUGAGGAAUAUUGGUCAAUGGGAGAGAUCCUGAACCAGCCAAGCCGCGUGAGGGAAGACGGCCCUAUGGGUUGUAAACCUCUUUUGUCGGAGAACAAAACUCGGGACUUGUCCCCGUCUGCGUGUAUCCGAAGAAAAAGCAUCGGCAAACCCCUUUCCAGCGGCCGCGGUAAUACGGGGGAGGCGAGGGUUAUCCGGAUUUAUGGGGUUUAAGGGGUGCGUGGGCGGUCCGUUACGUCGGCGGUAAAAUUGCGGGGCUCAACCGCGUCGAGCCGUUGAGACUGGCAGACUUGAGUUGGCGAGAGGUACGCGGAAUGCGCGGUGUAGCGGUGAAAUGCAUAGAGAUCGCGCAGAACUCCGAUUGCGAAGGCAGCGUACCGGCGCCAGACUGACGCUGAGGCACGAAAGCGUGGGGAUCGAACAGGAUUAGAUACCCCGGUAGUC